rnacentral:rRNA from 11 species
UGACCGAUAGUGAACCAGUACCGUGAGGGAAAGGUGAAAAGCACCCCGACGAGGGGAGUGAAAGAGACCUGAAACCGAAUGCUUACAAGCAGUCGGAGCAUCCAUUGUGGUGUGACGGCGUACCUUUUGUAUAAUGGGUCAGUGAGUUAGUCUAUCAAGCAAGCUUAAGCCGUUAGGUGUAGGCGUAGCGAAAGCGAGUCUGAAUAGGGCGAUUGAGUUUGAUGGAUUAGACCCGAAACCCGGCGAUCUAGGCAUGACCAGAGUGAAGGUGCGGUAACACGCACUGGAGGCUCGAACCGAUUAACGUUGAAAAGUUACCGGAUGAGUUGUGUUUAGGGGUGAAAGGCCAAUCAAGCCGGGAAAUAGCUGGUUCUCCGCGAA